GCCCGCCGCCCGGGGCCCGCCGUGCCGGCCGUUGUUGCGCCUUCUUCGCUGCGUCGCUGUCCCCGUGCCCGGCCGGCAUGAGAGGCAGGAGGCGGGUCCGGGGCCCGGGCCGUCGGGGUCCGGCACCGCCGGGGAGCUGCGGGCGGAGAGGGAACAACGUGUUGCGUCGGCGAAGAGUGGCCGGGGGGGGUGGUGAGGCGGGCUGGCCUGGCCUUGGGGCCCCUGCCCCUGGGCCUCGGCAGCCACCGCCCCGGGCUGAGUCCGGCUCUCGGGGAGAGGUCGGCACCGAGUGCGGUUUGGAGAACAAAACGCUGUUACGUUUUCCUUGUGAAUCGUGAACUUUGCUUGCUCCUGGCGGGAGGGAAGGUCUGUGCCCUCCGCCAGCCGUGCGCGUGCCCAGCUCCACGGCUUUCUCCCGGGGAAGCCGGAGCGAAUCCUUCCGGGAAGUCUGGAGAUAAACACAAGCAGGGCAAAAGCAGAGGGGCAGGGGGCAGUCGGUCCCGGGUACCUUCCUUGCCACCAGCAGCUGCUCAGCACUGUCCCUCUGAAAUCCAAACGCUUUCCAAGGAGCGUUUUUUAUCCCAUAUUAAAAGGCAGGCACCCGAACAGCGGGCAGGGACUCUCCAGCCGGGACCUGUUGCGUCUGGUCCUGCAUCCCGUGUAACUUCAGCCACAGCAAAGGCUAGAAGCCUGAGCACUGCCUGGGAUCUUCCUGCUGGAGGACACCAUUCAACAUCGAACAUUUGACGGAGGUUUUUGUCCCUGCAGCAACUAUUUUUCCAUAUUCUACUUGCUGUACAUGCUGUGCUGCAGUGUCUGCCUACCUGUAAUGCAGCACGGUCCUGCUGCCCUUUCAUAAAGUCAGGGAGCUGGAAAACAUCCUUGAGUCUCUAUAGUCUGUAAUUUUUAAACUUGGGAAUCUUGAAAACAAGUUAGAAAGUGACAGAAUGGAGAAUAAAUUUUUACUGUCUGACUUUUUAAAAUAAAUGUAUAUAACAGCUUUUCUGCAGACUUCCCUGAAAAUCUUUUAUGCAGAGAGUGUUUUAAGAUUUCCUUUGUGUGUGUGAGAGAGUAUUGCUAUGAAAAAGGGAAAAGAACAUCUCACAGAUCUGAGCAUCCCUACUUGUACAUUUAGGUUCAUUUACUGUGACAUACACUGCAAAUCAUACAGUAAACGGGCUCCCACUGGCACAGCAUUGUACACUGCACCUGUAGACAUAAAUUUUUAGGUGUGCUUUAUAAGGCAAAAAAGUGCAGAAUUGCUUUCUAAGUAAUAUUUUAAGAUCCUUAUUUUUACAUAAUUUUCAAAUUACUGGUGGAAAACUAGACAGGACUGGAUAAAUGAGAAUUUUUAAAACAGCAUAUAAUAUUGGCACAACUGAAUUAGGUGGUCAAACUUUACGUGCCUUCAGACAAGGAAUUAGGAUUUCACCCCUGUGUUUAGUAAAAUUAAGAACUGUUACUGCGUAACACUGUUGUGCUUUCAAAAUGCAUCGGUCCGUAUUCACAAAAGCUUUGAUUUUUAUAUGCUGACUUAAACAAGUAGCACGAUUUACAAGCUUAGCCAGUAAGAAUUUUGGUAAGGAUUUUCCCAUCUAAGUGCUGCUACUCUGGGCUUCAGUCCUGUUGGCAAUUCCCUGACCAGUCCAAAUACUUAAAUAUGAACCAUGGAUGAUUUCCUAGGAGAAUGAGUCAAUUAAUUAUUGACUAUGCAUAGGUAUUUCUUAGGUAAGUUUUAAUGAUUUACUUCCUUCUUGUUUGGAAUUUUCCAUCCAUUUACGGUACAUGGUAAAGGUGUGGGCAUAUUGGUGCUCCUUGAUUCUACUUGUCUGCCUAAAUUAAAACAAUUAAAAUUUCUUGUGAAAUGAGGGUCAGUAAACUGUUCUAGAACACUGCCUUUCUUAUGAAAAGGCAGUCAGUAUUUUGAGUAGAAGUUGUCUUAAUGUCACAUCUUGAGUUAAAGCAUCCCACUGUCAUUAUUAUCCCUGUUAAUUAAAAUGAAGAUGUGGAAGACUGUCAUAUGGCCAUGUUCCCCUUUUAACACUGAUGAGACAGCAAGAAUUGAGAUUAAUCACAUGGAAAACAAACAAGUUAGUAUGUACCAGAUUGUAUGCCAUACUGGUUUCCUGCAGGCUCCAUCUUUGAUAGUUAAAUCUCAGUGAUUUAGUUUAAAGUUUGUUUUAUUUGCUGACUUCACUUUUUAUCAUGUAGAUUUAUCAUACAUUUCUUUUCAAUUGCCAGCUUUGACACUCACUCUGCUCAGCCUGGCAAGCCAAAUACAGCAAGAUUGCUCACAGGGUUGGAAAUGAAUUGUACAAGGGGUUACUGAAGAGAAAACAGAUCUGCUGAGUACGAGAACUGGGAACUACACACGUGCCUGAAUCUCAUGCAGUUCUUUCUGUGGUAAACCGUGAGGAUUAGAGAUUUCUUGUGGAAGAGAUCCUGGUGAAGAGCUGUUUGGUAAAGAGGCCUGGAUUUACCUCACAUAUUAUGCUUGUCUUUGCUGCUUUAUGAAAAUUACAGACCUCUGAUUUCAUUCAGAGGACUUUGCCCUUGAGAUGAGUAUUUGUAUGGCUGCAUGUGUGGCUAUGUUUAUAAGCAGCAGUCUGAAGAAAUUUUGUUACUCAGGUGGAGUCAAAACAGAUAAACAUUUCUCAGGGAAUUUGGAAGGCAGCCAAAGAAAUCCUAUCAUAAAGAGCCAAAUGCUUUCCUUUGUACUAAAAUGAUUCUACAGUUCACCUCCACAAGUGAAUGUCUAUUUCCAAUAAAGCAGGGCUAUGCCAUAGUAUGUAUCUACAUCCUGGGUCAUGUGCAAGCAGCUACAUCUGGAUCCAAGGAUGCAUACAUGUGGCAAUUUCAUAGUUAGUAGUGGUGUUUGGGGAACAUUACCAGAAGUUGUAAUUGGUAUUUCACAAAUGGGAGCUCCUUUCUGAAACCCACUCCCAGGGCACGGUGGAUGAGCUUGUCCAUUUCCUCAUGCCAGUGUGUGGAUGUGCUUUUGGCUGACUGCUGUUGGCUGGGGCAUAGGAAAUUUUAGGUAUGAACACUGGCUGUUCCAGCUGAGAGCCAAGCCCUGGAGAUACUGGAUGGAUCGUUAAGUGGAAUGUGAAACUUAUUCAGCAAGGUGUUAUUUCCCUUCGGCAGCAUGGUCAUCAGUGGAUUUGUAUGACUGUUAAUUUCUAGGGGCUUUACUUCCCUACUCCUGUCUUAACUAACAAAACCAUGCCAUGACCUGAGAAGAUCUGAUAAAUGAUAUAAUUAUAAAAUUAACAGUUAGCGUGUACUAAGUAUUGUCAAACUCUUUACCUAACAGCUGUGGUCCUCGCCAGCUCUGCCAGCCUUCAGUAUGGGGAUACAAAUGUCUGGUGAGCUUGAAAGUCAAGAAAGCCAGGAUCAGCCUUGCUGACAGAGUUACAGUAGGGUUUCAAAGCACUUGAUGCUUCAUUUUUCCCCCCUUCAGGACAUUUGGACCUUGCCUUUGUAAACCUAUACUUCAAAAUUAUUAAUAUAGCUUCUGCUCUCCGGAUAUUAUCCAAUACUUGGACACAUAAACUGAAGUUUUCUAGGUAACGACUAGGUGAGGACUCAUAUAAAAAUAGUAUGGCUCUUCUAUUACUGUCUUACUUCAAAAUGUCCUCAUCAUGUGCUAGAAUCACCCAUAGAUUGUUUCCUUUCUAGUGGUUUUCUGUAUCUUUCACUAAGAAGUUAAAUCAGUUGCUAGGAAUGAAAUUACUUUUGUUUUCUUUCCCUACAAGGCAACCCAAGGAUUCUAACUCUUAAUCACCUGUCAGUAACUUUUGCAGUAUUUACUUUUUUUUUUUAAUUGUAAGACACUUCUUUUUUAAAACAUGCAUUUGAAAUCCUCUAACACCUCCUUACUAGUAUCCUGCAGCUACUUGUUACAUUCAUCUUUUCUAUCAUGAGCACAGGUUUUUCCAUUCCUCUGCCCUUGUCCCUGCUGAGAUUCAUAAUUUUUUGCAUUUUUGCACAAUUCCUUCCUCUUUGCCAUGAGUUCUUUUGCUUUUAUCUCCUACUGGUGUAGUCAUAUUGGAUUACUUAAUGUUUGUUCUAGAAUGAAGUAUGGAAAUUUACAUCUUUUAUCUGAUUUUUUUCUGUUUAUUUUUAGCUGCACAUUGUUCACAGAAGUUUUGUGAAUAUUUUUAUUGGUUAAAUAAAUUAAGUUGGCAUGUCUAUGUGGGCUUUUUAUUUCAAGGAAAGAAUAACAUGUCUGUCAAAUUCUAAUAAUAUUGUCAUAUGCUACUGGGAAAAUGGGGACAUAAUAAUGCAUCACACUGGAUAUCAAGGGAGUAACUUACAUCAUAAAAAUGAGCUUCUAAAUUACAGUCUCAGAGAGCAUGACAUUAACCAAACAGAAAUUCAAAGAUUAUAGAGAGAGGGUAACCAAAUGCAUUACCAAAUGCUUGUAAGUAGUUCUACAAACUUUUUAUUUAUUUACUUCUUAAUCUCUGCUACCUUAUCUGAAAAAUAUUACAGAAAUGUCUAAGGUCACAUUUCCUGAAAACAACUUCUAAGGUGUAAUUUCCUACACCAAAUCUCAACAUAUACAUCUAAUUUCCUUCAACUGUGUAAAAAGAAGUUAAUUCAACAAUUAAGGAUAUUUUAUUAAGAAAGUUUUGUUUUCUCCAUCCCACCAGUUAAAUGUGAUUGUUGUGCAUUAUAGGCAUCAGAAAUCCAAAUAUUUUUAUUAGGUUUGAUCAAAACAUUUCUAUUUACUUUAUUGCCCAGCUGUAAUUCAUUAAUCUAAAAUGUUCACAAGAUUUUCUUAAUUGAGAAUUUGGAAAACGAAAACAGUAGUAUAUAAAUGGUUUUAUUUUACAGUAGAACCCAACAACAUUCACAUAGUGCCAGAGGCCAGAAAGUCAUUGGAGGCCAAGAAUUUUUUUAAGUAAAAGAUGUGAAAAUUGUUCUGCCAUUAGCAACAGCCCUAGUACACUUUUGAAAACUGUGUCUGAAUCUAGGUCUCAGCUCCAUAAGUUGUAUUUAGGAUCCAUAUCAUGUGUGGUGAAGUUAUUCAGGACAUCAGUCUCACCAAAUAAGUAGGUUAUGCAGACACCUCACUUAAUUCACUGGGCAGCUUUUUAGGUAAUGCAAAAUUAGUCAACGUGACUAAUGCUUUUUAUUUGAUCUGGCAAAUGCAACUAUAAGGUAGCAAUGCUGUGUAACUUCUACUGGCCAGUAUGGAAGCUGCUGUUUCCCCAUUGUCCUAGUUUUGCUGGGACAGGAUCCUAGGCCAGCCAUGGAGGGCGGGCCAGUGGUAGCUCUGUCAUCUGGGAGCUCAGGUCAGGGCAAUUGUCCCAUGCUGGCUAACAGGGGUGUCCUACCUUAGUAUAAAUGGGGAGGGUGGAGAGUCCGCUUUCCUGGGGCUACCCCCUCUUGGCCUAAUGCUCCUGGUACUUGCAAGGUCUAGGCUGAGUACAAGCUUAUUGACUUCAUGUUGUUGUUUGUCUAAGUUUUGUUAUUUCAUCAAAACCGGUUGUAUUUCAGCCCACAGGGCUCCUCUUCCUUAUUCCCCUCCUUGGCUUGGGAGGGGUCAUUGGGUGAGAGAUCAGUUUAGCUUAACUGGUCUUAACUUAGUUAAACUUCAGUUUAGCCGUGGGUAUGGGCUAAACAUUGGAAUGGGGGAGCAGAACUCAAAUAGGAUCCAAAUACCUUUUCCUCUUACUCAGCAAAUUGCACAAGGAAACCAGUCCGGUAUGAGCAGUCCUAAACUGUGUAUUUCUUGAGUACCACUAAGAAACGUUUAUGCGAGUUGGCAGAAGGGAUAGUCUUUGCAUUUGUUUUUUAAUAGAUACAGAUGAUAAAGUUACCAAUUACUGUCUCUUCUGUUUGCAGACUUUCUUCUCAGCCAAGAGACAUACUCACACUCACACAACACCCACAGCACAGUAUGUAUUCAUAACAUUGACAGGUGUUGAAAACAAGCAUAGCUCAGCUGAAUUCUUUCCAGACACCGUUCAUUGUUUUCUGGAAAAUGCCUUUGUGCCCCCCAGCGCUGGCUGGAGACCUUGUUUUGGUUCCACUGUGGGUAGGUUUUAAUUUUCAUUUUUAAGGAACUGUGCAUUUUUCAAAAAGGGCAUGUCUGAACAGGUAAUUGUGCAUUAACAAAAAUUGUCCUGGAGACAGAAGAAAAAUCCUACUGUUUGCUACCCUGAAACAAGAGUGUGAGUUUUAUUCCCAUAUUAAUUAAUUCUUAAAACACUACUGAGUGAAGUCUUCCCUCAAACCAUGCUGAUACUACUACAGAUACAGGUCUCCAUUCAAAACUGAAGUGAUUUUUAAGAGGUACCAUUUGGUCUGAAGAGGGAGGAACAUUUCUCUGAAAAGAAAGGGUAUUUGCAGAUUCACAGAUCUCAAAGCUGAGGCAGAUUGCUCAGACUACAUCUCCAGGCAGGGGAAGGAUGGGCUGCCUCCCUCCUUAGCCCAGGGAGGGCAUCCAGCCCAGGGUUAACAUGACACCCAUCAUUUGCCUCUGCUGGUUGUUCUCUGACCUUCUUGUUAAAAAGUAAUUGCAUAAAACUCCCACACCUAUAUCUCUUUUCAGAUUGUGUAGUUUCAGUUUUGAACCAUUAGUUCUUUGAACGUUUCUCUCCAAUUCCUCCUGCAUAGCUAUGCUCUCCCUCAUGAAGUACUGCACAAAAACUGAGGCACUUCUCAGAAGUCUGAGGAAACAAUUCUUUAUAUCCAUUAGUGCAAAUGUGUUUGCUUAGAGGUUGCAACUUUUUUUUUUCUGUAAUGUCUCCUAAUUUACAAGCUGAACUUCUAAAAGGUAGUAUAUUUUCCCAGUAUCCUUACCACUGACCUAGGAAGAUUAAAUUAACUUUUAAUUUCUGCUUAUGCAUCCACGGAUAAAUUCAUAUGCCAGUGUUUCUCGUUGGGAGCUCAUGCUGAAUUACUUGUCCACCAGGUCUGCACAGGAUUUAAGGGUACUUGCCACUUUCUGGGAUACAACCCACCUUCUGUAGAUAUGAACUGAAUGUUUUAUAUACUGAAUAAAAACAUUAAUUUAAGACCAAGUGCCACCAGUUUCUUCAAUAAUCCCCAUAUUCCUAAUGGAAACUAUUUUGAGAUUGUUGGUCAGCUCCUAUUCUUGGUAUUGUGUGAUACUGUGUAAUGCUCAUGUUUUGCUGAGAGUAAUGUGAUACUUCAUGUGAUAAUUAAGUGACAAGCACUUGAAUAAUCCUACAUACACUUGUGCUAUAAUCCUUAUCGAUUCUCCUUUUAAAGUAGAAAAUCCAUAAUAACAAAAUAAUAAAAACUCCCAAAAGAAUAAAGGAACUUACUUUUCAGAAAACCAUA